GCAGCAGAGCUAGAGAGAACUGCUGUGGAUGGGGCUGUAUUAUAUUGUAACAUGACUCACUAUUCUCUCCUUUUCACUGCUCUGUGUGCAGGAAAAUAAAUUCAAAAAUCAUCCACAAUCUGAGUAUGUGUGUGUGCUGUUGAAGAAUGGGGCAAACCGGGCCAGAAAAACCAAAGGUCACAUUGGUGCCGUGACUCAGGACUUCAAUCAAGGUGGUCGAAGAUCAUCCCAACAUCGGACCGGCGGACCUGUCGUCAUUCUUCACUGCACAGGACCUUCAGCUAAGCUUUUAUUAGUUAUUGCUGGACUUUAUACUAAAAAGAAGAGGGAAGAGACUUUUGAAUGGACACUGUGAAGUGGUUUGAUAUUUUAUUGACUCCAGGUAUCACAGCAGUAUAAUAUAGUAUACACAUUGUUUUUCUUUUUCCAUUUAUAUACUAUUAUUACUUGAUUAUGGAAAACACAAGGUUAACUGGAUCUCGGUAUGUGGGCAGUCCGGUUAGUGUUGGUCGGGGGAGAGGUCUAUUAGUGACACCAAUUCCUUUCCCAGAUAUCAGCUCUAGCUCUAAUAUGAGUGCUGCUAACAAUGGUAUGGGGUUAGAAGCAAAUACAUUUCUUGAGCCAAAUGCUAAUGAAAACCCUGUUAAUUGCAUCACAGAUUCAAGUAGUGCGUCAGAGGGAAGUUAAAGAUCCUCCUACUUUGAGGCGAUACAUCAGACACUGUUACACUCGAUGAGUGGGUGGAGCUAAUGAAGAAUUUCAUAAAAAAGGGGUUUCUGCCUACUGAAGAGCAAGGUGAAGAAAUUUUAAUCCACUUGAGAGGCAAAGCCAAAGAUGUUGUUAAAGUGGGGAUGCUGUCUAGCGGAUUAGAUAUCAGAACAAAUCCUGAUGCAAUCUACACUCUUUUACGGAAGCAUUUCAGUUGUCAACAGUAUUCUCCUGUCCCUUUGCAAGAUUUCUACACCACUCUUCCUGAACCUCAGGAGGAUCCCUUUGAUUACUGGUUACGCCUGAACCAUACUGCUGACGUCGCAGCUGAGUGUCUGAAACAACAGGGAAAGUUAUUAGACAACCAACUGAUCGAAGUCACACGCAUGUUCAUUAGGAAUUGUCCAAACUCAGAUCUAGCACUGACAUUUCGUUCAAAAACCAUUGACAAAUGGACGGCUCAUGAAGUGCAAGAGAUCCUGAAAAAGUAUCAUUCAGAGAAAAAUCUCAGAGGCACUGGACAAGGAAACAGAC
ensembl:lncRNA